CUCGCCGUGAGUCGACGAAGGGAGCGCGGGCGCGCGCCCGCGUCCGCGCACUGAGAGUCGCCUCGGCCGCUCGCUUUCUCGACUCCCGCCUCGCGCCUCGAUCCUGUUCCGCCUCCCUCGGCCCUCCUGCCCGCCCCCACUCGUCGGCCCUCAGCUCAGAGACCUAAUAGGAUGGGGUCUUAGAGAAACAUCUUUUGAGCCACAGACUUCUUUGUUACCAGAAGGAAAAUGAAAGAAGAAAUUUAAAUACCACUUGAAGAGAGGUGCUGCCCAGUUCAUGAGUGCUGCUGCUGUCCUGCCCAAGUACCCAGCUUGCAGAGUGCCAGAGUUAGAGUCCCAGGGGUGUUCUCCACAGCUGCAUGCUUGAUCCAGGCCUAUCAGCCCUGCUUCUUUAGAAUUGACAGUCUGGCUUCGUGGUUAAUUCACAGCAUCUGAGGAAUACAUCCAAAGAGGGUGAUACUGUGGCAUGAUGGUACCAGGAUUCCAAGUUCAUUCCAGAGAAGAUGGCAAGAUGCAGAGAGGAGGAGUCACGCCUGAAGCCACACAGCUGACAUCAGAGCCAAAGCAUGAGCCUCAGUCUCUCUGACCCAGAGCUACCACCCUUGCUGCCUUGGGAAGAAGGAAGCCCCCUCCUAUUCUAUCCUUGAGCUGCCUUGGCAAGGAGGGGCCCCUUGCUGCCGCCAUCCUCACAGGACACCAUCCACAUGAGGGGAUGGUGAGCUCCACUUCCACCUUUUCUACAUGUCUGCUCUUUAAACUGCACACGUUGAUUCAUUCAUUCAUUCAUUCAUUCAUUCCCUUGAUAUUACCAUUCAUUUAUUCAUCAAGUAUUUAUUGAGCAUAUUUAUCUGCAUGGCAUUGUGCUAAUCGUAAUCAUCAUAUUCACCACUGCUGAGCAGAACAGUCAGGGUGCUGCCCUCAGGGAGUUACCAUGUAGUAAAGGAGACAGAUGGAAUCACACAGAGGAAUGCACGUCUGAUUGUAGCCUGACUGGAGUGCCAUGAAGGAGACCAAGAGGGCAGGGUGAUGGAGAAAGCACAGGAUGAAGUUCUCGUCUUCCUUCCAACAGAAUCUCAGUUGCACUCAGUUGUUGCCCCCCUCGAACCUCCCUUGAGCCUCAGGAGAAACCACCCUGAUUCAGAGGUCCAGAGAAGACCUGACUAGCCCAAGGUAAUUCCGUCCCCUUGCCAGAGUGGCUUGGGCAGGGACACGGGACCUAUUUCAAUGAGGCCAAUGAGACAAAGGUAUUUCUGCUGGGGAGGCAGGGGCUUCAAGCAAAGGGUCUUGCUUGAAAGAGCCACCGGAAGAGGGCUCUCUCCUUCCUUAGGGUGUCACCGUGUCUGGAUGCGAUGCCUGGAAGUGCUACAGCCACUCGCGCCCAGCCUGAAGAUGAAACCAACCCCAAACACAGCCAAGCAGAGAGAUGGAAAGAACUAGGACCCUAAUUACACCACUGAGCAGCUAUAGCAACCAGUUCCAGAGCCCUCUGACUUCCCGCCAAAGUGAGAUGAUAAGAUACUGUUUAAUUUCUCUCUUUUAUAGCCAAACACACCAAAAUUGACACAGAGAUGUGAGCCAUACCUACUACUGUUACUGCUCCAUCCCUAGCUCCAACCACAGUGCAUGGUACAUGGUAGAGAGCCAACAAACACUUGAAGAAUGAAUGGUGCAUAUUGAGUGGGAUUUUCCAGAGGCAGACCUGGAGACAAGGCUUCAAGUGCGUGUGUUGUAUUAAGGAAAUGCUCCCAGGGGACAAUAGCAGAGUGGCAGAAAUGGGACAAGGGGGCCAGGGAGCCAAGAACAGAGAAUCAAUCGUCUAAACAGAGCCCCCUGUUUUUUGUUUCACCUGGGAGUAGCUUCUACCUGAUCCCCAGGGGAACUCUGGGAUGUCAGUGACGGCUCAGCAUUGCCCCUGAGGCAAGGGAGCUGGGCUUUCCUAAUCCCCCACUCCUCAGUCUCUGGCUAAGCGCUGUCCCCAGGGGACUUAAUCACCCAAACACUUCCCCAAGAGUGGCAUCUGCUGACCACUGGAGGCACUGGUACAGUGAAGCGACAGAAGGGAUCAGAGAGGGUCCAGGUGGAGCACAGCAAUGUGGCUGAAUAAUAACUAUAUUAAUUCAUAUAGUUAAUUCUCAAGCAAUGGCAAAGUGUAGGCAGCUUCUUGUCUGCAAACGUUUCCAUGAUAUCUCUCCUGCAGCCAGACGGGUCUUUUCCUGCCGCCUACACAGAAU
ensembl:lncRNA novel transcript, antisense to CBLN1